CCCGUUUCUCCUGCUGCUCUGUUUGCUGCGCCUCCCUCAGGAGAGCCAGCCGCUCCUUCAGCUCCACCAGGGACAUCUCUCCCAGCAGCUCAUGGCCUGCAGUCUGACACGGGACAACAGAUUCAGCAUGACACAAGGCGUAGCCAACGUGAAGCUGAGCAGUCUUCUGGUUGCGUUCCAUUAUGCGUGUGCGGGCCAUAGCUGCCUCUUCAUAACUAAUGCGUCCCUCCAGACGCCUGCGCUCAAUCUUGGCCAGCUCCUCCUGAAGGUCCUUCUCACGCAUCUCCUUCUGCCACUGGAGGAAAGACGAGGGCUCACGUGCCCCCUCCACCAGACUCUCCAUUCUGUGUCACAAACACAAAGAAAUAACUCCUGCUGCAGUUGAGCUUUAUUUAUGUGUAGCCCGGGCUAAAAUUAAUUUAGACAUCAGGAUGUAAAUAAUUUAUGCAAAAGGUUAAAAUGUAUAAAUGUGGUUAAAAUGUACAUGGAUGGCUAAAAUGUAUGAAAAUAUAAGAGUCAAUCUUUACAGUUCAAAAGUUAAAAUUAAACAGUUCAUGCCAAUGAGCAUACUUUGUUUGAUGUGUACCGUACAUUAGCCAGCACGAGUAAUCGGCCUAACAUGGUCAGCAGCAUCAUGUGUGAACCCUAGUUUUUCUUUAUUUUAAUUUGAACAUCCUAAAACAGCCAACACAUUUCCAUUUUCAGGUAGAGGGGUGGGGCUUAGCUGUAAGCCGCAGGGUGUCUGUUUGAAAUGUCUGCCUAUGACACCUUUGAAUUUAAAAGCCUCUAGGCUCUAAUUUUUUAAUGAAUACAUAUUUUGAUAUUCAUAUUGUUUUAAGGACUAGGGUAGAUAACUGGGCAAUAUAAGUGCAAAUCUGAACCAAAUCCAAGCAAUUGGUAAACAAUUAAAUGAGUGGUUUUAUUCUGCACUUUUUCGCCCAUGGGGUGAGUCACUAUAUUGAUAAAUGUAAGCACUUUUUGCGGUAUAAAAUAUUUUUGUUAAACCAUCCAUUUCAUGAAGGGGACAUCGUAAAAUUAUGAAAAAACAUGGUUGGGUUUUGUUCUAGGGGUAUCUGAAAAACUAAAGCCCAUUUGAGGAUUUGUUUAGGCAAUUAACUGUGCCCCCCCCCACCCACA